UUCAGGGUAAGAGGCUCCUGAACCGCUUGGAGUUGCAGAGUCUGUCGGGAUGCCAGCCAAUCUGGUACCCACUUCCAGGACUUUCCAGCACUGCCAAGAGAUGCUGGGGUCAGGGGCCUUCUUUCCCGUGCUGUUUCCUUUUAGCCUUCCCUGGUCUGACAUUCCAUGGCAGCUCAGCUGACCUUGGGGGUCUGGAGGGGGGGCUCAGAACCCCCCAUGCCCUGGGGACUGGCAACUGGAAGGUGUUGCAGUCUGUUCUGGUGCCAAAGAAAGGUGGCAUGGAUGAUCUGGCCAUUUGCUAUCCUAAAUUCAGCACAGUUGGUGGCAAAAGACUGCACUGUGCCUUUUUUCCCAGGGCCAUAGAGUUUUACUGGGUCCUUGCUGUAGCUAAACUAAAUGUGUGAGAUGUUUGAAUUCAGUCUGGAGGAAAUUUCACUUGACGCCUUUAUGGUGUCUCAGUGUUAUAUUUUCUGAGCCAUGGAGUUUACCAGGUUCAGGUUCACCCUGCAUCAAAUUUAAAUGCAAGAGAUGCUUGGAUUUCAAUAUAUAGCAAAUUAUAAUUCACACCUUUAAGGUGUUCGAACCUUAUUUUUGCUGGGCCAUAAUUUACAGGUUCCAUGCAGUAGCUAAGUUAAACGCAAGAGAUACUUGAAGUGAAAUUUGUAAGAAUUAGUGCACUUGGCAUCUUUAUGGUGCCGUUCCACCAUAGAUUUUACUAGGUCAAUGGUGCAGCUAAAGUAAAUGCACGAGAUGCUUUAAUUUCAAUCUGUAGAUAGCUGCAAUUAGCACCUGAACCUGGGCCAUAGAGUUUUACUGGGUCCUUGCUACGGCUAAACUCAAUACAUCAGGUGCUUGAAUUUCCAUCUGGAGAAAAUUGCAAUUAGGACUUGAACCCUGUUCUUGCUGGGCCGUACUGGGUCCUUGCUGCAGCUAAUCUAAAGGCAUGAGAUGCUUGAAUUUCAGUCUGUAGGGAAUUGCAGUUGAUACCUUUAUGGUAUAACAGUCAUAAUCCUCAUAAAGGAUUCCUGGCAUCAGGCUGCAGCUAAACAAAAUAACUCACAUUUCCCCCCAAAGCUAAAAGAAGGAGAGACCACGGAAGCAGCCCGGAAGCUGGAAGAGGCCUCUUCUGAUAUCUACAGGACUUCCACAGUAUGCGUGAGUCCCCUGAUUCAUUUUCUUGCUGUUUUGUCCUGGCAGCUAGGAAAUGCGAUUGUCUCCAUGCUGCAUUUUGGCACUGUGGCAGCCUUCGCUUGGGACUCCAAAUCCAGGGAACCAGCAAAGCAUCUGAAGACUUUCAUGUACAUCUAUCAACACUUGAACCUCAGUGUCGUCAUUGGAGCUCCGGAAGAUGAAGAUGCAUCACCAUGGCCCCUUAAUAAUGUAGUU
rnacentral:lncRNA from 1 species